UUCGACUUCAUUCAUUUCAGUUAAUUUGAAUUUUGAAAAAUUAUCUUUUUUAUGGAUAUUUUAUGAACCAAAAUAACAUAUAAUAGAUUUUGAAUAUUUCUGGUCAUCAUCCGAAAUCUUUAGGUGUGUGGGAUUCAAAGGUCGUACAUUGGUAGGUUGUAUUUAUUUCGAAGCAUGACGAAACAAUUAAAGGCGGUCUCAUUUGUACAACAACCACAAAUCAUAUGGCGCAAUCCGCUAUGUUGUCAUUAAGCUGAUCAACGUUUUGCCACACACAAAGAAAUUUGUGUGAGUGUGUGUAUACGUGUGUGUACAUGAGCAGAGAAUAUGCGAGAAAGAAGAUAACAACAAAGAGAAUGCAACCAAAAAUCUGUCAUCUUAAUACCGUCCAACCUGGCCGACUCCUUGAUUUCAAAUUACGUAUGGCAGCUUUUAUCAAAUGAUGUCGAUAGUAGUCUCCAAACUGGACUUGGUUUUAGAUUCUUUAGAUUUAUUUUCAUUACAGUAUGUGAUAUAUCAAUGACAUUCAAGGAAUAUGAAUUAAUAUAAUUAACAUAUAAUUUUA
rnacentral:sRNA from 1 species